CAACACUCAGAAGGCUGGGGCAGGAGAAUUGUCACGGGUUUGAGGCCAGCCUGGAGUAUAUGGAAAGAUCCUAUCUCAAAAAGAUAAAAAAGAGUCCUUUCAAUCUACAUCAGGUGCUCAAGAGAACAGAUCCUCCCUUCACUGUCUGCUGCUUGGCUGCCAAGGGAUGAGCAGCUCUCCUCCACCCACAUCCUUCCACCAUGCACUUCCUGCCUUGGAGACAGCCAAUUAUGGACUGAAUCCUCUAAACCCACCAGACGCUCUAAGGGACUGGACAGCAUUCAUAGCUGGAAAUUUAGCCGAGCUGAUAAUAAGCCUUCCAGUAGAAGCUUUCUGCUUUGAGGACCAGAACCUUUAGAUGCUCGAAGUCCUAUAAUUAUGGGGAAGAACUUGCUGCGGCUGGUUUUCCUCAUGGGAACUUGGCUGUUUUCAUCAGAGGAGCUUGGAUCCUCGCUGUCCCUGGGAAUGGCUGCUGUUCUCAUCGGGGAGCUUUGAUCUUUGCCUAGAGCAUGGCUUCCUUACUCCAGUGUGGAUCCCUCAGCCUGGUGGCACAGAGACUUUACCCCACCGGCGCAGGCUUUCUAGCUUGCACCUCUGGCCUUUGGGCCUUCCGAGUGAAAAUUCUCGAUAUGGAGAAGCAUGAGACAUUGCCUUGGGCUCUAGGCCACUGGCUGAACUUAUGGAGGACAUUGCUUUGGACUCUAGGCCUUCAGCUGGACUUGUGGGGCACAUCGCUGUGGGAUCUAGGCCCUUGGCUGGAUUCUUUGGAACUCUAGUGUGUGGCUAGAUCUCUUGUACUCCUCUGCAUUUGACUUUUUGGGUGACUAUUAUAAAAUAAUUCUAUAGCCAGAGAUUUAGCCCAGUGGUUUCACUAACUGCUUCGCAAGCUCAAGGACCCAAGUUCAAUCCCUCAUACUAAAAAAAAAAAAAAAAAAUCCUGUAAAUUAUUUGCCC
ensembl:lncRNA